AUGCUAGCAUGAUUCCGCCUUUAAUUGUUAAUUGCAUGCUUAUAGAUGUUGCUCAAAGGAACAUGUUUUCACAAAAUCUUCCUUCAAGUGGUAUCAGAGCCUAGGUCUAGUAGUUGGUGAAUCCUUUUGGGUUUUGUAUUUCAUAGUUUUGAUUUAAAAGUUGUAAUAUGUUACAAGCUUUAUUCUUGUUUCUUUGAAUGUAAAUUUUGUUAGAAAAUUUACCAUCUCAAAUGUUGUAGAUGUAGUUCAUAUGAGCAUGAAUAUUAGAGCUAAAAUUUGGUGCCAAGUUUUUGGGGAUUUUCGGCCAAAUCCAAAGGGUGUUUUUUUGGGUUCUUGUUUGACUUGUUAAAAGUGUUUUAAGGUGACUUUUGGAACCCCUAAGUACCCUAGGAUGUUAGCCCCAUUUUGAAUGGUGAAAAUUAGAGUUUUAUUGCUUGAAAACAUUCAUGGAGCUCUUAUGGGUUUUCAUGGAUGUUCUUUAUUGUUCUUGAUGUUCUUCCCAAGAACAAAAAGGUUUGAUGUUUUGAUUUAUUUCAUAAAGUCUUUGUUUUGUGUUGGUGGGUGUGACUUAUCUAUCAUCAAAACAUUUAUUAUUUUUGAAAGGUGAUAGAAAUGGUGAUGGGUGUGUAAGAAGGACUUCUCUUACACACACACCACUUGCAUGGCACCACUUGCAUGGCUUUAUUCACAUCAACCUAUUUCCACUUGCAUGGCUUUAUGACUUAGUUGAAAAAUUUCCAAAUUUUUGUGGAGUUAUCUCCACCUUUUUCUCCCUAAAACCGGCCACCCUAUUAAAAUAGAGUAUUUUUAGGGCUUUUAUGCAAUUACAUAAAGUUUUGAUACUUUUGUGUAUUUGUAUUUUGACCCGAAAGUUUACGUUUUGACGUUAAGGCCUAAAAGCGCUAAAGGACAAAUUGUUUUGCUCCUUUAAUGAAGUUUUGAAUUUAUUGAAAUUUUUGGGUUCUAGUUGUAAUUACAUGAACUAGUGGACUUUUGUGUUUUUACAAAGUGACCCCAAAAGUUUGUGUUUUUGCAAUAUAGCCCAAAAGUUGUGGUAAUUGUAUUUUGGCCCAAAUUAGGUUGAGAACAAAAUUGUUUUGCCUCUUUAAAUGAGAAUUGGAUUUUCAUUUUAUUUAGCUCCAUUUAAAUGAAUUUUAUGGAUACAAAAACCAAAUGAAAAUGUUGCAUUCAAUUUAAUUAGUUAAAGUGUUAAUUAAUUAAAGGGUGAUUAUUAACCUAAGCCUACGAUAAUUGAGCUAUGUGAAAGGCCGUUUCAAAUUUGUUUGAACCAUGGGAAUGUGUAGAUUAAAUUUUGGUUGUAAUUUGAUUUGAUCAAAUGUUGUAAAAGAGCUUAAGCUCUUCUUUACUUUAAAGUAAUUUGAAUUGUUCAAAUGUUGUAAUGAGCAUAAGCUCACCUUUACUUUGAAGUACUUCUUUCUUGCUUUAUUUGAUAUGCAUGAAAAUGAAGUAGUUGGGUCCAAUGCCCCUAAGACAACACGCCUUAAUGUGAUUAAACGCGUAACUAAAAUCUGUUGGAAAUGUGCCCUAAAACCAAUCAUGUGAUGAUACUUUACGGACAUUUCACAUGUUAAACUAAUCUAGUUUAAUAUAAAGGGCAAAGAUUAUUGUUUGAGCCGUCUCAUAUAAAUGUUAUAUGCUUAAACGAUAAAGUCCAAGGAAUAUGUGAUUGGAAGAAUGUAAUCUAAUGAAGUUAGAUUCAUGAGACCAUUCUUUCGUAGACACAUCCUAAAUGUUCCUGAUCAUAGGAUUGCCAAUUGGGCAUUGACAGUCCGUCAAGAUCGGUACGUGCUAUGUCUUCUCUCAGGGAGAGUGACUAGUCUCGAGUCAUUGGUGUGUGUGACAUCAAGACAAGUACGUAGGUGCUCAGUAGAGAAUGAGUUCACUGAACGUGAUCAACGAAGAGUUCUCAUACUCAUGUCACAUGAGAACUCAUGUUUGGGAUAAUGCAAAUUAGUCCUUUGACCUGAGGCAUCACAGUUGUCUUGUGGUUAAGUCCUUGAUCUUUGAUUAUGUCAAAGUCACCCCAUCGGGGUGUCCACGGCAUCGUUGGGGUUAAGCCACUUAGUCAUGGAGGCAAGUGAAUGCGCAACAAGGGAUCUCUAACCUUCAAACCGUUUGAGGGAGAAUACUCUAUGAUAUGAUUUAGAAUCUCUGGCCAGAGUAUGAAUGAGAUUUAGAAAAGUCGUUCUAAAUCACAUUCAAGGAAAUCAUAUAAGCACACGAAUCACAUUGGAUAGUAGACAUGAAUAAAUAAACUAUCAAACCAAACAAUGUGGUCAAGAGUAUUAGAUUAGAGAAAGACCGUAUUGCAUUUGUAAUCCCAAACUGAAUAGGUUUUCUCUACCUCUUCUGAUUAGCUUGGGUAACCAUGAUAUGCUGCUAGGUGUCACUCAUGGUUUGUGGAAGCCCUAAACGUGUGUAAUCACUAAAGGGAGAAUUGAAAGUAAGUUUCAAUUCACAAUCGAUUUGAAAUGGUUUUAAUCGCCCACUGCCUCGCUAAAAGGAACCUAAUGGAUCGCACACCAUAAGAGGUGGAGAUUGGAGAUUAAACGGAGAUGAGUAAGAAUGAUUAAAUGGUUUAAUCAUUUAUUUAUGGCAAGGAUUAAUUAAUAUGUUAAUUAAUCAAACGAAUAAGUUCGUUAAAGACCUCGGGAUAGGUUUUGGACCUUAAGGCCCAAUGGGCUUCGAACGUCAAGCCCAUUGACUUAAGUUGUAUGACAACUUAAUGAAUAAUGAUUCACUAAGACCCAAAAGCCCAAACAAACCCCAUGGCCGGCCAUUUAGAGGAAGGGUAGUGAACUUGCUUUAAUUACAAGUUUGCCACUCAAAUGAAUAAAGGUAUAAAUAUGACUUUAUAGCCUUUUAUUCAUUAGGGUUUCUUUUAGAGAAAAUUGGUGAGAACUUGUCUCUCCAUUUUCUCUCUAGGAGGCCGGCCCCUUGGGGGUGCAUCUUGCAAUCCCACUACUCCAAGGUCACUCAUUUCUUCUCCAAUCUCUCCUUGGUGAAGAGACUUAGAGGUUCCCUAUUUUGGGAACUUGGAGAAACCUAUUCUUCCAUCCAAAAAUCCAUAGAUUUAAGAUGCAAGGAAUGAAGGCCCUCUCUUUGGGUGAUUAGCCUUUGCUUAUGCAAAAAGAGGAAUCUACAAAGGUAUAAAUUCUCAACUCACUUUGUUUUGAGUUGAUUAAUGGUUCACCAAUCUACUAGGCUUUGAAUUUCUUGGUUAAUGUUUUGUUUUUAAGUGCAUGCUAGCAUGAUUCCGCCUUUAAUUGUUAAUUGCAUGCUUAUAGAUGUUGCUUAAAUGAACAUGUUUUCACAAAAUUUCCUUCAAGUGGUAUCAGAGCCUAGGUCUAGUAGUUGGUGAAUCCUUUUGGGUUUUGUAGUUCAUAGUUUGUGAUUUAAAAGUUGUAAUAUGUUACAAGCUUUAUUCUUGCUUCUUUGAAUGUAAAUUUUGUUAGAAAAUUUGCCAUCUCAAAUGUUGUAGAUGUAGUUCAUAUGAGCAUGAAUAUUGGAGCUAAAAUUUGGUGCCAUGACUUUGGGGAUUUUCGGCCAAAUCCAAAGGGUGGAUUUUUGGGUUCUUGUUUGACUUGUUAAAAGUGUUUUCAAGUGACUUUUGGAACCCCUAUGUACCCUAGUUUGGUUAGAUGUUAUUUCCCUAAAGUUUGAAUGGUUUUGGAAUGUUUUUGGGUGAAAAAUGUUCAUGGAAAAAUUUUGGGUUUUUCAUGAAUGUUCUUCAUUGUUCUUGACAUUUUUGCCAAGAACAAAAAGGUUUGGUGUUUUGAUUCAAAGUUUUGAUUUAUUUCAUAAAGUUUUGUUUUGUGUUGAUUGGUGUGAAAUAUUAUCAUCAAAAACAUUUAUAUUUUUGAAAGGUGAUAGAAAUUGUGAUGGGUGUGUAAGGAUUAAUUACACACCUUACACACCUUACAAACCACUUGCAUGUAUUUAUGUCACAAACCACUUGCAAGGCUUUAUGAAUUUGUUGAAAAAAAUAUUUCAAAAUUUUGUGGACUAACACUCCAAAACCGGGCCACCCUAUUAGUGGGGUACUUUUGGGUCUUUUAUGCAAUUACAUAAAGUUUUGAUACUUUUGUGUAUUUGCACUUUGGCCCAAAAGUUUACGUUUUUACGUUUAGGUCCAAAAACGCUAAAGGACAAAUUGUUUUGCUCCUUUAAUGAAGUUUUUGCAUUGAUUAAAUUUUGGGUUCUAUUGUAAUUACAUGAAGUAGUGGACUUUUGUGUCUUUACAAAGUGACCCCAAAAGUUUUGCAAUAUAGCCCAAAAGUUGAGGUUAAUUGCUUUAUGGCCCAAAAAGUUGUGGUUAUUGCAUGAUGGCCCAAAUUAGGUUGAGAACAAAAUUGUUUUUUGUCUCUUUAAAUGAGAAUUGGAUUUUCAUUUUGUUUAGCUCCAUUUAAAUCAAUUUUAUGGAUACAAAAACCAAAUGAAAAUGUUGCAUUCAAUUUAAUUAGUUAAAGUGUUAAUUAAUUAAAGGGUGAUUAUGAACCUAAGCCUAAUAUAAUUGAGCUAUGUGAAUAGGCCGUUUCAAAUUUGUUUGAACCAUGGGAAUGUGUAGAUUAGAUUUUGGUUGUAAUUUGAUUUGAUCAAAUGUUGUAAAAGGGCUUAAGCUCUUCUUUACUUUAAAGUAAUUUGUUUUAUGCAAAUGUUGUAAUGAGCAUAAGCUCACCUUUACUUUGAAGUACUUCUUUCUUGCU
rnacentral:lncRNA from 1 species